UACGAAGGGUGCUAGCGUUGCUCGGAAUCACUGGGCGUAAAGCGCACGUAGGCGGAUUGCUAAGUCAGGGGUGAAAUCCUGAAGCUCAACUCCAGAACUGCCUUUGAUACUGGCGAUCUCGAGUCCGGGAGAGGUGAGUGGAACUGCGAGUGUAGAGGUGAAAUUCGUAGAUAUUCGCAAGAACACCAGUGGCGAAGGCGGCUCACUGGCCCGGUACUGACGCUGAGGUGCGAAAGCGUGGGGAGCAAACAGG
rnacentral:rRNA from 1 species